CAGCAGCCACGGUAAUACGUAGGUGGCAAGCGUUGUCCGGAAUUAUUGGGCGUAAAGGGCUCGCAGGCGGUUUCUUAAGUCUGAUGUGAAAGCCCCCGGCUCAACCGGGGAGGGUCAUUGGAAACUGGGAAACUUGAGUGCAGAAGAGGAGAGUGGAAUUCCACGUGUAGCGGUGAAAUGCGUAGAGAUGUGGAGGAACACCAGUGGCGAAGGCGACUCUCUGGUCUGUAACUGACGCUGAGGAGCGAAAUCGUGGGGAGCGAACAGGAUUAGAUACCCCCGUAGUCCCUGUCUCUUAUAC
rnacentral:rRNA from 1 species